rnacentral:rRNA from 1 species
GAUGAACGCUAGCGGCAGGCUUUAACACAUGCAAGUCGAGGGGCAGCAUGGUAAGUAGCAAUACUUAUUGAUGGCGACCGGCGCACGGGUGCGUAACGCGUAUGCAACCUACCUGUAACAGGGGGAUAACACUGAGAAAUUGGUACUAAUACCCCGUAAUAUUACGAAGGGCAUCCUUUGUAGUUGAAAGUUCCGGCGGUUACGGAUGGGCAUGCGUUGUAUUAGAUAGUUGGUGAGGUAACGGCUCACCAAGUCGACGAUACAUAGGGGGACUGAGAGGUUAACCCCCCACAUUGGUACUGAGACACGGACCAAACUCCUACGGGAGGCAGCAGUGAGGAAUAUUGGUCAAUGGACGCAAGUCUGAACCAGCCAUGCCGCGUGCAGGAAGACGGCUCUAUGAGUUGUAAAACUGCUUUUGUAUGAGGGUAAAAUCGGGUACGUGUACCUGACUGAAAGUAUCAUACGAUAAGGAUCGGCUAACUCCGUGCCAGCCGCCGCUGUAAC